rnacentral:rRNA from 1 species
UACGAAGGGGGCUAGCGUUGUUCGGAAUCACUGGGCGUAAAGGGCGCGUAGGCGGCUUUUUAAGUCGGGGGUGAAAGCCUGUGGCUCAACCACAGAAUUGCCUUCGAUACUGUAGAGCUUGAGUCCGGAAGAGGUAAGUGGAACUGCGAGUGUAGAGGUGAAAUUCGUAGAUAUUCGCAAGAACACCAGUGGCGAAGGCGGCUUACUGGUCCGAUUCUGACGCUGAGGCGCGAAAGCGUGGGGAGCAAACAGG